rnacentral:rRNA from 1 species
AUUGAACGCUGGCGGCAUGCUUUACACAUGCAAGUCGAACGGUAACAGCCCUUCGGGUGCUGACGAGUGGCGAACGGGUGAGUAAUCCAUCGGUACGUGCCCAGUGGCGGGGGAUAAGGCAGCGAAAGCUGUGCUAAUACCGCCUGUGAACAGAGGAUGAACGCGUGGGUCCAGCCACCUUUGUUUGGCCUCGCGCUUUUGGAGCGGCCGAGGUCAGCUUAGGUAGUUGGCGGGGUUAAGGCCUACCAAGGCGACGAUGUGUAGCUGGUCUGACAGGAAGACCAGCCAGACGGGGAGUGAGACACGGCCCAGACACCGACAGUGGGCAGCGGUGGGGAAUUUUGGGCAAUGGGCGCGAGCCUAAUCCAGCAAUGCCGCGGGCGGGAAGAUGGCCUUCGAGUGGGAAACCGCUUUUGUACGGAGCGAAAAAGCUCUGGCUAAUACCUGAGGCUGAUGACGGUACCGGAAGAAUAAGCACCGGCUAACUACGUG